rnacentral:rRNA from 1 species
GAUGAACGCUGGCGGCGUGCUUAACACAUGCAAGUCGAACGGAAAGGCCUAAGCUUGCUUCGGUACUCGAGUUUCGAACGGGUGAGUAACACGUGGUUGAUCUGCCCUGUACUUCGGGAUACGCUUGGGAAACUGGGUCUAAUACCGGAUAUGACAAUCUCUUGGAUUGGGUUGUGGAAAGCUUUUGCGGUAUUGGAUGUGCUCGCGGCCUAUCUGCUUGUUGUUUGGGUCAUGGCCUACCUAGGCGUCGACCGGUAGCCGGCCUGGGAGGGUGUACGGCCUCAUUGGGACUGAGAUACGGCCCAGACGCCUACGGGAGGCAACAGUGGGGAGUAUUGCACAAUAGGCGCAAGCAGGAUGCAGCGAAGCCGAGUGGGGGAUGACGGGCUUCGGGUUGUAAACACAUUUCGCAAGCGACGAAGCUUUUUGUGACGGUAGGUUGUGAAGAAGCACCGGCUAACUACGUG